UCAAAGGCCCUUUUUAGGGCCAAAAAAAAAAAUAAAUAAAAAUAAGU
rfam:TPA: Bos taurus chromosome 6, whole genome shotgun sequence.